GUAAACAUGAUGUUCAGAAGUACGAUAUAUACAACAUUUAUUAGGAUGUGGUAGCGUAUAAUUGUUUUAUAAUCAAAUGGACUGCACUUAAAUUAAGCGGAGGAUUAUGCGAUCAUGAGAUGUUAAUCAAAGGCCAUGUGAGUACGCUGAAACUUGUGUCUUCAUAAGGCAUGCUGAAAAUUGAUACAAAUUAGAGACACUUGUAAAAAUUCACACGAGGUCAUGAACUUCGACUAGCCGAUAAAUUAUUAAUGAAUUCUCAAUUGUGGCGUGAGUCCACCCUUACCUCACCUGUAAUGGAUCUUACAAUGUACUGGUUUAUCAGCCAAAAAGAUUCAGGCGUUUGAUUAUAAAUAGAUAAAUGAUCUUAAAUGUGAAGAAACAGAUGCAAUAGAAGAAGUCAAUGUUCAAAAUAUCACAUCAUACUUAGAUUUCAUCAAGUGCUGCUUAUAUAUUUUAGUUGUUUUAUUUUUUUUAGCAAUUAACAGACAUAUGUUAUACAUAACAUUUGUAUCGUAUAAAAAAUAAAUAAUAAAUAAGUGACGACGGAAUUAUUUUCAUUUCUUUUUAUUUAAAUACGAUAAAUAUAGUAGACGGGUUUGAUUUUCAGACAAGACCUUCCGUUAAGAGUCUAACGCAUUUUUUAGUACAAGCAGGUAGUCAAUCGUUUUUACAUAAUUCUGGUACU